rnacentral:tRNA from 1 species
GGAGGGCUUCCCGAGGGGCCAAAGGUAGCAGACUGAAAAUCUGCCAGCUCCGCCUUCGAUGGCUCGUAUCCAUCCCCCUCCACCA